GACGAACGCUGGCGGCGUGCCUAAUACAUGCAAGUCGAGCGAAGUUUUUCUGGUGCUUGCCCUAGAAAGACUUAGCGGCGCACGGGUGUGUCACACGUAAAGAACCUCCCUCAUAGACUGGGACAACUAUUGGAAACGAUAUCUAAUACCGGAUAACAGUAUUUCUCGCAUGAGAGAUAUUUAAAAGUUUGUUAUGCUAACACUAUGAGAUGGCCUUGCGGUGCAUUAGCUAGUUGGUGGGGUAAAGGCCCACCAAGGCGACGAUGCAUAGCCGACCUGAGAGGGUGAUCGGCCACACUGGAACUGAGACACGGCCCAGACCCCUACGGGAGGCAGCAGUAGGGAAUCUUCCGCAAUGGGCGAAAGCCUGACGGAGCAACGCCGCGUGAGUGAAGAAGGAUUUCGGUUCGUAAAGCUCUGUUGUUAGGGAAGAAUGGAUGUGUAGUAACUAUACAUGUAAGAGACGGUACCUAACCAGAAAGCCACGGCUAACUACGUG
rnacentral:rRNA from 1 species